CUGCAGCCCGAGUGGUGACCGAUAUUAUUGAGCCUAAAGCGUCCGUAGCCGGACUAGUAAACCCUUGGGUAAAUUGGGCAGCUUAACUGUCCAAAUUCCGAGGGGACUGCUAGUCUUGGGACCGGGAGAGGUCAGAGGUACUCAAGGGGUAGGGGCUAAAUCCUGUAAUCCUUUGGGGACCACCAGUGGCGAAGGCGUCUGACUAGAACGGAUCCGACGGUAAGGGACGAAACCCUGGGGCGCGAACCGGAUUAGAUACCCGAGUAGUCC
rnacentral:rRNA from 1 species